UUGUCCUCAUUUGUAAGUCGCUUUGGAUAAAAGCAUCUGCCAAAUGACUAAAUGUAAAUGUAAAUAAAUAAAAUGUUUUUGUCAUUUCUUAGUGUCCUUCAACAGAUGCAACUCAGGACCACAACUAGCUUGCGGACACUGCUUGAAGAAAAAGCCCCUUCAAUUGUGAGAGAACAAGAAGAGACAAAGACGCUGUUUAUUACCUAAAGAAAGUUUCUUGUUAAAGCUGCUAUCAUUGACCUCGUAGAGAAACAUGGAUUCUAUCCAUCUGGUACAGAAAAGCUGGCACUAGUAAAGGAGAUUGUGUCAUUGUUCCCCUCAUUAAGGAUUUGGCAAAAAUGAGGGACACGAGCAUUUUUUUGAUGGACCAUCACACAGUGGAUUUAUAGAAAUGAGACUACGGAACAUCAGACGGAAGCUUCAACAGAGCCAGCGGAUGUACAGUUUGAAACGUCAUCAUUGUACACAGCAACCUUCUUUGCCAGAUGAAACUGUGCCAAGUGAGUGGUUGACCCUGAUAAAGAGGAUGCGACCGUCACCAGAGAAUCCAUCAUCAAUAAAGACUGCAGUUGACCAAACCUUCAGUUACCAAAGGAGAUGGGUAAUGACAAAAUCCCCAACUGCUGCUGAAAUCUUCAAGGAAUAUCCCGGAUUUCUUGACAUGCCAGCCUUGAUGGACAUUGAAUUUUCCAAGCUCACAGAUGGAAAAGAAAUGGGAAAUGGGAAGGGACCAUAAUUCCAAAGCUCAAGGAAGUAGCAUCCUUGGAGAAGAAAAAUGACAUCAGACACUUGCUGGAGAAAGCUGACAAUCAGCAUGAUGGUAUGAUUUUCUACCUCACUGUCUGUUGCUUGUGUACACAUUUCUAAACAUAGUUUAAAUUAGAAAAAUAAAUGUGAAUUUUAACAUUGAA